rnacentral:rRNA from 1 species
ACACCGCCAGUAGCACGCCCGCAGUCCUCCGGUGCGAGGGCUUGCAGUCCGGCGGCCCACCGGCCAUGGACUCCGGCGGGGGUGGUGAGGACAUGGCCAUCCCAAGGAGGCAGCGGUGACGCCUUACAGCCCAAGGAAGGGCAGGACAGCAGUCCGGCCGCCCACCCCCAGCCCCCGUGCAGUUGGCGUGGUGCGUCCGGUGCAGUGCGGAACGCGUGUGCGUGGGUGCGCAGUUCUGGCGAGGUCAAAGAACUCCCUCUUCCUCGUCCCAUGGCCGAUCCAAGGUGCUCCACGUCGACGUACAGGAAAACAAUGGGAGCGACGGCGAGGAUGGUCUUUUGGUUCACUGAUUUUGUUUUUUGCGGUUGAAAAUCGUCAGGGCCUUAUCAUACUGUAGUUUACUUUUCCUCAAGGUGCUCGCCGCCGACGUACUGCGGUUUGCUAUGAGUUGUUCUUCCGGUUGAAUUUGCAGGGUUUUUCCAGUGAAUUUUUAAAAGGAAAUCAGUUCCUUUUCCUGAGGUGUGAAGUUUACUUGUGCAUAUUUCCAUGUAAUUUUGCACUUAGUCCUGCAGUGCACUCGAUGCGGUAAGCUCUGACCGUGCCCGCAGUUUAGAUGGGAGCUUAAUGAGGUUCACAUUCAAAUGUACUGCUCAACAGUGGUUCAGCAACUCAUCCCGUGCAGCUCGGUUUGCACAGGCAUGCGGUUUGGUGUAUCGCCGCGUGCAGCUCGGGGGUGUGCAGGCGUACAGUUUGUGCAUGGGUGUUUUUUUAAGUUAAAUGAAACUGCAAGUUGUGCAUCCUGGGGGUUUGAUGUGUGUGCGGCAUUGACCAUGCAGUACUCGGAUGAACACAUGUCUCUUGCAGUUAGGCAAACGUGUGAGUGCAGUAUGACAUGUAAUUUCUGGGGGGGUUGCAUUUUUCUUCUGAUUUUGUUGUGCCAUGCGAUGUGUGGUUGCUGGACGUGCUUAUUUUCUAGGUACUAUUGUUUGUGUCUAGAGGUUCGUUUCAUCAUUCUCAAGCGGUUCAUUUUGAAGAAAGAAAAGGAUAGUUAGAAAAAGAAACUAAUGCAGUACACUGGCCUUUACUCCGGAGUUCGGACGCGUUAACACAAAAAAGAAAAAAAUGACAAAAAUAGAAGAAUGCAGUGCACUAGCCUCUACUCUGGAGUUCGGACUUGUUUCAUCAUUCUCAAGUGGUUCAUUUUGAAGAAAGAAAAGGAUAGUUAGAAAAAGAAACUAAUGCAGUACACUAGCCUCUACUCUGGAGUUCGGACGCGUUAACACAAAAAAGAAAAAAAAAUGACAAAAAUAGAAGAAUGCAGUGCACUUGGCUCGCCACUACAGUCCCUUAAGUGCGGUUUUCAUUAUGUAAAAAAAAAACAACAACUCGUAUGAGAAAAAUAACGUCCGACAAAAGAAAUUAUGCAGCUCGCUUGCUCAUCCGAUGCAGUGCGGUUUUCAUUCUGAGGCAGUGCGGUUGGUUGUAUGAUGUUGUUCAUCCCGUAAGUGCAAAAAAAUUGUUACGAAAGCGAAAAAAAGUAAUGCGGUUCACUUCUUGAUAGUGUUGUGGUUUAUUUACACCCGAUGUGAAGUGCACUCUACUUCCUCGUCCUUAAAAAAAUACGUUUGGAUAAAAUAAACCAUGCAGUUCUCUAACACGUCUGCUGCAGUGCGGUUUUUCGUCCGAUGCAGCAGCAACAUCUAUUCCACGCCCCUACUUCAACCAGCUGGACGAGGCUCCAUGGCCUUCGUGUCCUAGCUUCUACUCUCUGGACAGGUUUAUCUCUUUUCCUCUUUCCUUCUCUCCCUCUGUUGUAUGUGUGUGCAUGCGUGUGUUCUUCUUGUUAAUCAUUACUGGUGUUCAGAUUAAUUGGCAUGUCAUGCAGGACGAGUAUUGUGCAAGAAGCCCCAUUAGUAAAGUAUAAAGACCAGGAGUCAAUUUACAUCUUAUUAUCUGACCAUCUUAGAUAUUUCCUUUGUCCUUUGUAUAAGUUUAUUCCCAAUUAGGAAUCAGCUACUAUACCACAGUAGCAUUUAUCUCAUUCUGAAUCUGGAACGUAUUUUAGAAAUCCCCCAUUAGUAAUGUAUAAAGACCAGAGGUCAAUUUACAUGUUAUCUGACCAUCUUAGAUAUUUCCCUAUUAGCUAGGUUUAUGAUUUUGCUUUAUCCUGUGUAUAAGUUUAUUACCAAUUAGGAAUCAGGUAUUGUACCACAGUAGCAUUUAUCUCAUUCUGAAUUUGGAAUGUAUUUUAGAGAAAUCCCAUAUAAAUUAUUUAAUUUAUGACAUAAUUGGAGAAUCAUCAAACAAAAUUUGUUGAUUUGAUGGUUGCAAACCUAGAUGUUUCCAUUUUUCAAAUGCCAUGUAAUGUUUCUCAUAGGCUCGACAUAUACAUGUUGGCCUAAAUCUGCAUUUGUGCUUGGCUGUCUAUCUAAAUUCAGUUUCUUCCUAUAUUUUUGCUGGUUCAAUGGUGCAUUUCUCUCAGAACUUAGGUGUACUGUUGUUAGCUGAAUUUAAUCGUAGAAUGAUCUUCUUUCCAUGUCAUGCAAAAACAGCAACCUUCUCUUCUUUAUAUUGUUAUUUAAAAUAGGUUAUAGGUAUACUGUUGUUAGCUAAUGCAAGUACAAUUUAGUGAUUACUAUUUAGUUGCCUUUCAGAGCCUGCGAGUUUAUAACUAAAAGAUACUGGAGCACCAAACUUAUGAAGGCUAAUUGGCUAAUUAAUCAAAAGGAAAGAAGAAAUGAAUAAUAUUUUUCUUUUGUAAAAUAUUGCAGCAUGCAUCAUUAUGCUUUUGUUUUUUUAUCAAUAUAUGUUCCAUGCCUUUAUGGCAGAUUUGAAAGUGAUAUGCUUGCCUUUUAGGGUGUUACUAUGGCAGAGAAAAGGAGAGCUGAGAUCAAGGUGCCAUUUUGAAGCGAUGCAAACCUUGCAUGUAUGCACAAUUUCAGGUCACAAUACUUUGAUAGUGAGGUAAAGCUACCUAUCGCCAACCUUUUGUGUUCAGAUCUGAGAGAAAUAACCAAGAGAAAGGAAGAAGGUAAGGUAUGUGCCCACUAAACUCCUAAGGAGGUAAGGCUGUUGUUUGGAGCAUUAGGCCACAGAAGCAAUGUCCAUAUUUAUGCUAUAUGCUACUUGUAGUGAGGCGAAGAAAAUACUUUACAAGCCCUCAGAGCGCUCUUUCCAUAUUUCCAUACAAAAGGAUCAUUGUCAAGCAAAGAUGAGUUGACUGAAUUUUUGGCACAUUCAUUCUCAUGACUUCAAUUGAUUUGAUUAUCUGCGAUGGAAUUGAUUAUGACAAUAAUGGCAACAUGGUCAGAAUACUUGCUGUUGUUGGACCAAGGGGAUGCUCUGAUGCUUCUGUUGUUUCGUUGCACAUCCUUGUUAGCUAUAUCUCUUAGUUCAUUGUGAAUUGCGAUACUACUUUUCUCAUGAGAUAUAUUGGUCAUAAUAAAAUGUUAAACAACUCUACACCUUAUUUACAAAUUCUCAUCGCAGGUGCGAGUACUCCUCAAAGGAUCUAUUUGAGAUUGCAUGGAAGUCAUGCGAGAAAGAAGCGAAUUCUAUGCCAACCCUACUGUGUGUAUAUGUGAAACGACUAAAGAUGACCCCUCUGCUGCAGGAGCGAAGAAUUCCGAAGAUGAUCCCACUAGGACAGAAGAGGUGAUUGAUAUUGGGGCUGGCGAUGAUUCUUUUGUCAGAUGGAAGGAUACUGAGCUAGAGGAGAUCCUGAUUAGUUGAGUUAUUGUGCAGCUCAAAGAAAUUAGCUUUUGCAUACCAGUGGUGUAUGUGGUAUACUAAAAAUUCAGAGAAUUUCCGAUUUUAUUUGGACGGAUUUUGGUGUGUGC